rnacentral:rRNA from 1 species
CCUACGGGAGGCAGCAGUGGGGGAUAUUGCACAAUGGGGGAAACCCUGAUGCAGCGAUGCCGCGUGAAUGAAGACGGCCUUCGGGUUGUAAAGUUCUGUCGCAGGGGACGAAAAUGACGGUACCCUGCAAGAAAGCUCCGGCUAACUACGUGCCAGCAGCCGCGGUAAUACGUAGGGAGCAAGCGUUGUCCGGAAUUACUGGGUGUAAAGGGAGCGUAGACGGCCAGGCAAGCCUGGAGUGAAAGCCCGGGGCCCAACCCCGGGACUGCUCUGGGAACUGUCCGGCUGGAGUGCGGGAGGGGCAGGCGGAAUUCCUGGUGUAGCGGUGAAAUGCGUAGAUAUCAGGAGGAACACCGGCGGCGAAGGCGGCCUGCUGGACCGCGACUGACGUUGAGGCUCGAAAGCGUGGGGAGCGAACAGGAUUAGAUACCCCAGUAGUC